rnacentral:rRNA from 1 species
ACGUACACUCCUACGGGAGGCAGCAGUGGGGAAUAUUGCACAAUGGGCGCAAGCCUGAUGCAGCCAUGCCGCGUGUAUGAAGAAGGCCUUCGGGUUGUAAAGUACUUUCAGCGGGGAGGAAGGCGAUAAGGUUAAUAACCUUGUUGAUUGACGUUACCCGCAGAAGAAGCACCGGCUAACUCCGUGCCAGCAGCCGCGGUAAUACGGAGGGUGCAAGCGUUAAUCGGAAUUACUGGGCGUAAAGCGCACGCAGGCGGUCUGUCAAGUCGGAUGUGAAAUCCCCGGGCUCAACCUGGGAACUGCAUUCGAAACUGGCAGGCUAGAGUCUUGUAGAGGGGGGUAGAAUUCCAGGUGUAGCGGUGAAAUGCGUAGAGAUCUGGAGGAAUACCGGUGGCGAAGGCGGCCCCCUGGACAAAGACUGACGCUCAGGUGCGAAAGCGUGGGGAGCAAACAGGAUUAGAUACCCUAGUAGUCCCAUGA